rnacentral:misc_RNA from 1 species
UACGGAGGGUGCAAACGGUAAUCGGAAUAACUGGGCGUAAAGCGCGCGUAGGUGGUUGAGUCAGUCAGAUGUGAACGCCCCGGGCUUAACCUGGGAACUGCACCUGAUACUGCUUGACUAGAGUACGGUAGAGGUCAGUGGAAUUUCCUGUGUAGCGGUGAAAUGCGUAGAUAUAGGAAGGAACACCAGUGGCGAAGGCGACUGCCAGGACUGAUACUGACACUGAGGUGCGAAAGCGUGGGUAGCGAACAGG